rnacentral:rRNA from 1 species
CCUACGGGAGGCAGCAGUAGGGAAUCUUUCACAAUGGGCGAAAGCCUGAUGGAGCAACGCCGCGUGCAGGAUGAAGGCCUUCGGGUUGUAAACUGCUUUUAUAAGCGAGAAAUAUGAUGGUAACUUAUGAAUAAGGAUCGGCUAACUACGUGCCAGCAGCCGCGGUCAUACGUAGGAUCCGAGCAUUAUCCGGAGUGACUGGGUGUAAAGAGUUGCGUAGGUGGCAUAAUAAGUAGCUAGUGAAAUCUGGUGGCUCAACCAUUCAGACUAUUAGCUAAACUGUUAAGCUCGAGACCGUUAGGGGUAACUGGAAGUUCUAGUGGAGGAGUGAAAUCCGUAGAUAUUAGAAGGAACACCAAUAGCGUAGGCAGGUUGCUGGGACGGUUCUGACACUAAGGCACGAAAGCGUAGGGAGCAAACGGGAUUAGAUACCCCAGUAGUC